AGUGAACGCUGGCGGUAGGCCUAACACAUGCAAGUCGAACGGCAGCACAGUAAGAGCUUGCUCUUACGGGUGGCGAGUGGCGGACGGGUGAGGAAUACAUCGGAAUCUACUUUUUCGUGGGGGAUAACGUAGGGAAACUUACGCUAAUACCGCAUACGACCUACGGGUGAAAGCAGGGGAUCUUCGGACCUUGCGCGAUUGAAUGAGACGAUGUCGGAUUAGCUAGUUGGCGGGGUAAAGGCCCACCAAGGCGACGAUCCGUAGCUGGUCUGAGAGGAUGAUCAGCCACACUGGAACUGAGACACGGUCCAGACUCCUACGGGAGGCAGCAGUGGGGAAUAUUGGACAAUGGGCUCAAGCCUGAUCCAGCCAUACCGCGUGGGUGAAGAAGGCCUUCGGGUUGUAAAGCCCUUUUGUUGGGAAAGAAAAGCAGCAGGUUAAUACCCCGCUGUUCUGACGGUACCCAAAGAAUAAGCACCGGCUAACUUCGUG
rnacentral:rRNA from 1 species